GCUUUGACGGUGAAAUGGUUGACACGCAAGACUCAAACUCUCGUGCUAAAGAGCAUAAAGGUUCGAGUCCUCUUCAAGGCA
rnacentral:tRNA from 1 species